rnacentral:rRNA from 1 species
UACGUAGGGGGCAAGCGUUGUCCGGAUUUAUUGGGCGUAAAGAGCGUGUAGGCGGCCUGAAAGGUCAGCUGUGAAAACUCGAGGCUCAACCUCGAGACGUCGGUUGAAACCAUCUGGCUAGAGUCCGGAAGAGGAGUGUGGAAUUCCCGGUGUAGCGGUGAAAUGCGCAGAUAUCAGGAGGAACACCAGCGGCGAAGGCGGUGCUCUGGGCCGGAACUGACACUGAGGAGCGAAAGCGUGGGUAGCAAACAGG